rnacentral:rRNA from 1 species
CAUCCAGACUCCUACGGGAGGCAGCAGUGGGGGAUAUUGCACAAUGGGGGAAACCCUGAUGCAGCGACGCCGCGUGUAGGAAGAUGGUCCUCUGGAUUGUAAACUACUGUCCCCAGGGACGAAGAUGACGGUACCUGGGGAGGAAGCUCCGGCUAACUACGUGCCAGCAGCCGCGGUAAUACGUAGGGAGCGAGCGUUGUCCGGAAUUACUGGGUGUAAAGGGAGCGUAGGCGGGGAUGCAAGUUGGGUGUUAAAUCUACCGGCUCAACUGGUAGUCGCACUCAAAACUGCAGCUCUUGAGUGAAGUAGAGGCAGGCGGAAUUCCUAGUGUAGCGGUGAAAUGCGUAGAUAUUAGGAGGAACACCAGUGGCGAAGGCGGCUUACUGGACUGUAACUGACGUUGAGGCUCGAAAGCGUGGGGAGCAAACAGGAUUAGAUACCCUAGUAC